ACUAACUCUUCUUUUCUUUUUAGGUUGCCUCUUGGUGCUGCCUUGGCCGUAUUUGGCACCCAGAAUGCUUCAUUCUGUGACGGUCUAUUAAUAAGGUUGCCUUGCUAGAGUUUGGAGCAGGGCCUCAAUUGGCCAAAAUGGGAAGGAUUGGAUUCCACUCUCUUCCACGAAGAGUCAAUGGGACUGGCUAAGAUCAAAGUCUGAGGCUUUUUCCAUCAGUAAUCAUCCCUUUUUGCUUUCUUUUACGACCACAUGAAACUUGAGAAGCCACCUAAAGCUAUAUCAUUUAGUGGAGUUGGGCAGUUC
rnacentral:lncRNA from 1 species